UACGUAGGGGGCUAGCGUUAUCCGGAAUUACUGGGCGUAAAGGGUGCGUAGGUGGUUUCUUAAGUCAGAGGUGAAAGGCUACGGCUCAACCGUAGUAAGCCUUUGAAACUGGGAAACUUGAGUGCAGGAGAGGAGAGUGGAAUUCCUAGUGUAGCGGUGAAAUGCGUAGAUAUUAGGAGGAACACCAGUUGCGAAGGCGGCUCUCUGGACUGUAACUGACACUGAGGCACGAAAGCGUGGGGAGCAAACAGGAUUAGAUACCCCUGUAGUCUCUGA
rnacentral:rRNA from 1 species